rnacentral:rRNA from 1 species
UGAGACUGCCGGUGACAAACCGGAGGAAGUGGGGAUGACGUCAAGUCCUCAUGGCCCUUAUAGUGGGGCUACACACGUCAUACAAUGGCCGGUACAGAGGGUAGCCAACCCGCGAGGGGGAGCCAAUCCCACAAAGCCGGUCGUUAGUCCGGAUCGCAGUCUGCAACUCGACUGCGUGAAGUCGGAAUCGCUAGUAAUCGCGGAUCAGCAUGUCGCGGUGAAUACGUUCCCGGGUCUU